rnacentral:lncRNA from 10 species
GACUGCUGCUCGUUCUUGUGUCUCAGCUUCCACACUCCCUCUUCAGGGCCUCCCUGUCUACCCUCACUCCAGAGUGGCCGUUGCCACGGCCCACAGUUCCCCACCUACCAGUCUUCCCACACAGGUUGAGAGAGGAGGGGAUCCAAUUGCCUGUGAGGAGGACACGGCUCCUGGGUGGACCCUGCAGAUUGUGAAGUUCAAGUCACAGCUCCUGGGAAGGUCUCUGUGUGUAAAGAUCGUGGGGGUGAGACAGAUUCAGGGACCACACUCUGCUCUGCUCUGUACCUCUGAGUGUCGAUCCAGCUGCCUUGUGACCAGGACACUUAGAAGAAGCAUGGACCCUGCAAGAGGAUGGGCUCAAGGACAGCUUGCCUGACUGCAGCCAUAAGGAUGAAGCCUCUUCAGGUAGAGAAGGACUCCAGGUGGGGCCUGUGCAGAGGGUUCUUACGGGCGCAGUAGGAUUGGGGCUAUAAAAUCAGUAAAUGGAAAA